CUGAAGCACUUGAGAACUGAGGCAGAAGAGGCAGCAGUGGAGACAUCCUGCAAGAUCUGCACCCAGUGAGAGUGAGCAAGACUCAACAGCUACUUCAUAGAGAAACGCAGGCACGAACAAGUGAGCUG